CCGCCAGAGGACCCCCUAACUCUGUUUCUAUUAUGUUUCUUCUGAGUAAAACAAGCAAAUAAAUUAAAACUUUCAACAACGGAUCUCUUGGCUCUGGCAUCGAUGAAGAACGCAGCGAAAUGCGAUAAGUAAUGUGAAUUGCAGAAUUCAGUGAAUCAUCGAAUCUUUGAACGCACAUUGCGCCCGCCAGUAUUCUGGCGGGCAUGCCUGUUCGAGCGUCAUUACAACCCUCAGGCCCCCGGGCCUGGCGUUGGGGAUCGGCGAGGCGCCCCCUGCGGGCACACGCCGUCCCCCAAAUACAGUGGCGGUCCCGCCGCAGCUUCCAUUGCGUAGUAGCUAACACCUCGCAACUGGAGAGCGGCGCGGCCACGCCGUAAAACACCCAACUUCUGAAUGUUGACCUCGAAUCAGGUAGGAAUACCCGCUGAACUUAAGCAUAU
rnacentral:misc_RNA from 1 species